UAAAAAAUUGCUGGGUUAUAUGAUGAUUCUACGUUUAACUUUUUGAAGAACUGCCAGACUCUUUUCCAAAGUGGCUGCACCAUUUUACACUCCCACCAGCAAU
rnacentral:pre_miRNA from 1 species